rnacentral:lncRNA from 1 species
AGUCCUGAUGUCCAAGGGCAGGAGAUGGGUGUCUCCCUCCAGAAAAGAGAAUUUGCUUGUCUUCUCCCUUUGUGUUCCAUCUGGGUCCCCAACCAAGUGGAUGUGCCUGCCCACGCUGAGGGCAGAUCUUCACUGAGUCCACUGAAAACAUCCUCACACACUCAGAAACAAUGCUUCGCCAGCUGCCAAGUACAGUGUGUGUGCCUUAGUCCCAGCUACUCAGGAGGCUAAGGUGGGAGAAACGCUUGAGCCUGGGAGCUGGAGGCUGCAGUAAGCCAUGAUUGUGCCAUUGCACUCCAGGCUGGCUGACAGAGAGAUCCUGCCUCAAAAAAAGAGAUAGAUAGAUAGAUAGAUAGAUAGAGCUCCACCAGCCAUCUAGGCUUUUUUUUUUUAAACAGGGUGUCACUCUGUCAACCAGGUUGGAGUGCCGUGGUGCUAUCAUAGCUCACUGCAGCCUUGACUUCCCAGGCUCAACCCAUCCUCCCACCUCAGCCUCCUGAGUAGCUGGGACUACAGCGUACAGGCACAGACCACGAUACCUGACUUAUUUUUAAAUUUUUUGUAGAGAAGUUUCACCAUGUUGCCCAAGCUGGUCUCAAACUCCUGGGCUUAAGCAAACCUCCCACCUCAGCCUCCCAAAGUGAUGGGAUUACAGGCAGGAGACAUGGCAGCCAGCUAAGGCUCCCUGUACCCUGUUAGUCGGCUUUACAGCACCUGGAAUUGACCGCCACACGGAGCCUGGCGCUAAGGCCUGGCUGUGCCCAAUGGUUCUGCACGAAGACCCGGGCCGGCCUGUGGGGAGCUCAGCUGCAUAUGCGUCUGUGGCGCCCCCUGUGCCCUGCUCUUUGGGGACUGAGCAUAGCUGCCCCUCCCUCUCUCCCUUCUGCCCGCUCCUGGACAUUUCCGGAAGGCCCCAGGAAAUGGUGGCUGAUAGUGGUUCCUGAGGCCACACCACGGGCUGCCUGGUGCCCUUUCCCUCCCCAGUGCCCGGCUGGAGCAAGAAGCCGAGCUCCUGAUGGGAGCUGGCCCUUUCUUUAGACUUUGCUUCACCUUCAGGACAGGGGGUUCUGAAUUUCUGCGCUAGGGCCCCGCCGGCUUGGGUGGGCUUCCAGCGUGAAUCCUCGGCCUGUCGUCCCCGUCAUCAGGAAGCCCAACAGGGCGCCCGCCUGCCCUCUGUGUCCUCCCCGGGCUCGCGGCCGUGCACCUUCUGGUGCUGGAUGAGGGUGGACAGCCGGCUGCAGGCCCUCCCGCAGGCGCGGCACCGGUAUGGCCUCUCGCCGCUGUGGAGCCGGUAGUGCUCGUUCAGCGUGUAGCUCCUGCGGAACGCCUUGCCGCACUCGGUGCACGCGAAGGGCUUCUCCUUGGUGUGGAUCUUCUGGUGCAGAGUGAGGUUGGACUUGCGACCGAAGGCCUUGCCGCACUCCGCGCACUCGAACGGCUUCUCGCCCGUGUGUAGGCGCAGGUGCAGCAGCAGCAGGGAGUUGUGUCGGAACGGCCUCCCGCACACCGGGCACUCGUGGGGCGGGUCCCCCGCCUGGGGCCUCUGCGCAGCUCCGAGCAGGGCGCCCUGCCCCACGCCGCCGUCCUGGGCACCCUCCUGCGCGUGCAGCCGGUGGUGCUUCAGGAGCGAGGACCCUCGGAUGAAGCGCUGCCCACACCGCAGGCACCGGUAGGGCCGCUCCCCGCUGUGGAUGCGGCCGUGCUCGUUGAGGGUGAACCUGCGGCAGAACGCCUUGCCGCACUCUGUGCACGCGAAGGGCUUCUCCCCGGUGUGGAACUUCUGGUGCUGCAGCAGCCGGGAGCUGCGGCUGAAGGCCUUGCCGCACUCGCCGCAUGCGUAGGGCCGCUCGCGGGUGUGGACGCGGUGGUGGGCAGCCAGCUGCGUGCUCUGCCGGAAGGCCUUCCCGCACUCGCCGCACCGUCUCCCUGUGAUGCUGUGUUUCAGUGGUCAUGCUCCUGUUUCACUUUCAUGUUCCACCCUGUACACCUGGCUCUGCCUUCUAGACAGCAGUAACAGAAUUAGUGAAAGUACUAAAAGUCAUUAAAAUGCAUAGAAGAAAUAAUGGCGUAAGCUGUCCUGUCUCUCUCUCCGCCUCGGCUGUCAAACAGGGAAGGACCCCCUGUCCGGUGAACAUGUGACUCACAUGACCUUAUCAAUCAUUGGAAAUGACUCACACUCUUUACCCUGCCCCUUUCGCCUUGUAUCCAAUAAAUAACAGCGCAGCCAGGCAUUCAGGACCA